GCAUGUGAGGGCAAUCUGGCUGUGACAUCUGUCACUCCAUUGAUCGCCAGGGUUGAUUCAGCUGAUUUGGCUGCCUAGGCGGGUGUCCCCUUCCACCCUCACUGCUCCAUGUGUGUCCCUUCCAAAACUGCAUGCUCAGUGGAAGAGGAUGGCCUUCCCUGAAUAGAGACGGACUGGUCUUUGAUUGAGGGUAUACAAGUAGUCGCACUCCCCUGCUAGAACCUCCAAACAAGCUCUCAAGAUACAAGUAUAUGUAAAUAUCAUAAAAGGACAUAAUUUUUUUUGAAGUUUUUUUUAUUU
rnacentral:snRNA from 1 species